AUUGAACGCUGGCGGCAGGCCUAACACAUGCAAGUCGAACGAGUGGCGGGCGGGGGGGUAGUGUGGGGGAAACUGCGUGAGGGAGGGGGAUAACUACUGGAAAUGGUCUCUGAUAACGCAUAAUCACAGAUGCGCCGAGAUGCGAUGAGCUAGUUGGUGGGGUAACGGCUCACCAAGGCGACGAUCCCUAGGUGGUCUGAGAGGAUGACCAGCCACACGGGAACUGAGACCGGGUCCAGACUCCUACGGGGGGCAGCAGUGGGGAAUAUUGCACAAUGGGGGCAAGCCUGAUGCAGCCAUGCGGGGUGUAUGAAGAAGGCCUUCGGGUUGGAAAGCACUUUCAGCGGGGAGGCGUUACCCGCAGAAGAAGCACCGGCUAACUCCGUGCCAGCAGCCGCGGUAAUAC
rnacentral:rRNA from 1 species